rnacentral:lncRNA from 1 species
GGUUGUUAUGCGAUGUGUGGUUUGAAAUCCUUCGAGAUUUCAGGGACUACCGGGAUUAUAUGGGCUUAAGCGUGAUGGUUCGACUAUGCAAAUGGUCACUAUCAGGCUUAAUCUCUUAUAAUUUGGUCGGUUCUGUUACAUACUCACUUUACGUUACAAAUCUUAGUAUUUUUCUCUAUAAUUUUGGUCAAACGUGAAAAUACUUUGACUCUCCAAGAUUCUUAGAAUGACUUACAAUUUGGGAUGGAGGGGG